rnacentral:lncRNA from 7 species
CUCCAGUAUGAGGCGUACAUGGCCAUACCAUGGGAGGCCCAGUCCUAGCACGCGCUACGGUGGUUGUCACUAAAUCAUCGACGAGCUCAAGGCUAAGCCGAUGAAGCCCCCUACUUCGAUCAUGUAGAUGGUGAGGGACGCGAUGUGGUUGCCAUCCAGAUCUAGGCAGGCGACCACAAGUGAGGGAGGCGACGACACGAGGUGGAGUGCGCAUGGUGCACGCCGACACUAGGUGAAGGGAUCUGGUUGUAGGGGCGACAGGAUGCGCGCCGGCGAGGGCGCCGGUGGCAUGAGCAGGUUUCUAUGCUAUGUAUGGCACGCUUGAGAAUAUCAUCCUAUUUUGUCGGGUUAUUUAAGAAUUACCAAGUACGGCUCAUGGAAACUGUAGCAUACUCAUUGCAAAACAUAUUCACUUUUUUCUUGAUUUUAUUGAAGUUCAAGAUCUAGGUAGGUGCAUCGAGCUGAUCAUGCAUGUUUG